ACGCUGGCGGCAGGCCUAACACAUGCAAGUCGAGCGGUAGAGAGAAGCUUGCUUCUCUUGAGAGCGGCGGACGGGUGAGUAAUGCCUAGGAAUCUGCCUGGUAGUGGGGGAUAACGUUCGGAAACGGACGCUAAUACCGCAUACGUCCUACGGGAGAAAGCAGGGGACCUUCGGGCCUUGCGCUAUCAGAUGAGCCUAGGUCGGAUUAGCUAGUUGGUGGGGUAAUGGCUCACCAAGGCGACGAUCCGUAACUGGUCUGAGAGGAUGAUCAGUCACACUGGAACUGAGACACGGUCCAGACUCCUACGGGAGGCAGCAGUGGGGAAUAUUGGACAAUAGGCGAAAGCCUGAUCCAGCCAUGCCGCGUGUGUGAAGAAGGUCUUCGGAUUGUAAAGCACUUUAAGUUGGGAGGAAGGGUUGUAGAUUAAUACUCUGCAAUUUUGACGUUACCGACAGAAUAAGCACCGGCUAACUCUGUGCCAGCAGCCGCGGUAAUACAGAGGGUGCAAGCGUUAAUCGGAAUUACUGGGCGUAAAGCGCGCGUAGGUGGUUAGUUAAGUUGGAUGUGAAAUCCCCGGGCUCAACCUGGGAACUGCAUUCAAAACUGACUGACUAGAGUAUGGUAGAGGGUGGUGGAAUUUCCUGUGUAGCGGUGAAAUGCGUAGAUAUAGGAAGGAACACCAGUGGCGAAGGCGACCACCUGGACUGAUACUGACACUGAGGUGCGAAAGCGUGGGGAGCAAAC
rnacentral:rRNA from 1 species